rnacentral:rRNA from 1 species
GAAAACGAUUGAACGCUGGCGGGAUGCUUUACAUGCAAGUCGAACGGCAGCACGGACUUCAGUCUGGUGGCGAGUGGCGAACGGUGAAGUAAUAUCGGAACGUGCCUAGUAGCGGGGGAUAACUACGCCCGAAAGCGUAGCUAAUACACAUGCGCCCUUCGGGGGAAAGCGGGGACCUUCGGGCCUCGCACUAUUGAAGCGGCCGAUAUCGGAUUAGCUAGUUGGUGGGGUAACGGCUCACCAGGCGACGAUCCGUAGCUGGUUUGAGGACGACCAGCCACACUGGGACUGAGACACGGCCCGGGCUCUACGGGAGGCAGCAGUGGACGCUGGACAAUGGGGAAACCCUGAUCCAGCCAUCCCGCGUGUACGAUGAAGGCCUUCGGGUUGUAAAGCACUUUUGGCAGGAAAGAAACGGCACGGGAUAAUGCCCGAUGCAACUGACAGUACCUGCAGAAUGAACUUUGGAACUAACUACGUGCCAGCAGCCGCGGUAAUACGUAGGAGUGCAAGCGUUAAUCGGAAUUACUGGGCGUAAAAGCGUGCGCAGGCGUUGGAAAGAAAGAUGUGAAAUCGACUUAACACGGACUGCGUUUUAACUACCGAGCUAGAGUGUGUCCAGAGGAGGUGGAAUUCCGCGUGUAGCAGUGAGAAGUGCGUAGAUAUCUGGAGAACACCGAUAGCGAAGGCAGCCUCCUGGGAUAACACUGACGCUCAUGCACGAAAGCGUGGGAGCAAACAGGAUUAGAUACCCUGGUAGUCCACGCCCUAAACGAUGUCAACUAGCUGUUGGGGCUAACUAUGGUUUGCCCAGUGCUUCAAUAAUGGGGAAUGACCGCCUGGGGACCUGGUCGCAGAUUAAAACUCAAAGGAAUUGACGGGGACCCGCACAAGCGGUGGAUGAUGUGGAUUAAUUCGAUGCAACGCGAAAAACCUUACCUACGCUUGACAUGUCUGGAAUCCCGAAGAGAUUUGGGAGUGCUCGCAAGAGAACCGGAACACAGGUGCUGCAUGGCUGUCGUCAGCUCGUGUCGUGAGAUGUUGGGUUAAGUCCCGCAACGAGCGCAACCGUGUCGUUAGUUGCUACGAAAGGGCACUCUAAUGGAGACUGCCGGUGACAAACCCGGAGGAAGGUGAGGAUGAUCAAGUCCUGCGGCCCUUAUGGGUAGGCACUACACGUCAUACAAUGGUCGGGACAGAGGGUCGCCAGCCCGCGAGGAAUAAUCCAGAAACCCGAUCGUAGACCGGAUCGCAGUCUGCAACUCGACUGCGUGAAGUCGGAAUCGCUAGUAAUCGCGGAUCCGGCAUCGCGGUGAAUACGUUCCCGGGUCUUGUACACACCGCCCGUCACACCAUGGGAGUGGGUUUGCCAGAAGUAGUUAGCUAACCGUAAGGAGGGCGAUUACCACGGUAAGGAUUCAUGACUGGUCGUCGUAACAAGGUAG